rnacentral:rRNA from 1 species
UACGUAGGGUGCAAGCGUUGUCCGGAAUUAUUGGGCGUAAAGAGCUCGUAGGCGGUUUGUCGCGUCUGCUGUGAAAACUCGGGGCUUAACUCCGGGCCUGCAGUGGGUACGGGCAGACUAGAGUGCGGUAGGGGAGACUGGAAUUCCUGGUGUAGCGGUGAAAUGCGCAGAUAUCAGGAGGAACACCGGUGGCGAAGGCGGGUCUCUGGGCCGUAUACUGACGCUGAGG